rnacentral:rRNA from 1 species
GAUAUCUCGGCUCUCGCAUCGAUGAAGAACGUAGCGAAAUGCGAUACUUGGUGUGAAUUGCAGAAUCCCGUGAACCAUCGAGUCUUUGAACGCAAGUUGCGCCCCAAGCCUUCUGGCCGAGGGCACGUCUGCCUGGGUGUCACAAAUCGUCGUCCCCCCAUCC